rnacentral:rRNA from 1 species
GAUGAACGCUGGCGGUAUGCUUAACACAUGCAAGUCGAACGGACUCUUCGGAGUUAGUGGCGGACGGGUGAGUAACGCGUGCGAAUCUGGCUUUGGGUUCGGGACAACCACUGGAAACGGUGGCUAAUACCGGAUGUGACGAGAGGUAACAGAGAAAUUGCCUGAAGAUGAGCUCGCGUCUGAUUAGCUAGUUGGUGAGUUAAAGGCUCACCAAGGCAGCGAUCAGUAGCUGGUCUGAGAGGAUGACCAGCCACACUGGGACUGAGACACGGCCCAGACUCCUACAGGCGGGAGAUGGGGGGAAUUGCCCGCAAUGCGCGAACGCCUGACGGGGCAAUACCGCGCGAGGGAAGGAGGCUCUUGGGUUGUAGACCUCUUUUCUUAGGGAAGAACAAAAUGACGGUACCUAAGGAGUCUGCGUCGGCUAACUCCGUG